rnacentral:rRNA from 1 species
AACGAACGCUGGCGGCAUGCCUAACACAUGCAAGUCGAACGAGACCUUCGGGUCUAGUGGCGCACGGGUGCGUAACGCGUGGGAACCUGCCCUUAGGUUCGGAAUAACUCCCCGAAAGGGGUGCUAAUACCGGAUAAUGUCUUCGGACCAAAGAUUUAUCGCCUUUGGAUGGGCCCGCGUUGUAUUAGCUAGUUGGUAGGGUAAAAGCCUCCCAAGGCGACGAUCCAUAGCUGGUCUGAGAGGAUGAUCAGCCACACUGGGACUGAGACACGGCCCAGACUCCUACGGGAGGCAGCAGUGGGGAAUAUUGGACAAUGGGCGAAAGCCUGAUCCAGCAAUGCCGCGUGAGUGAUGAAGGCCUUAGGGUUGUAAAGCUCUUUUACCCGGGAUGAUAAAGACAGUACCGGGAGAAUAAGCUCCGGCUAACUCCGUG